rnacentral:rRNA from 1 species
GAUGAACGCUGGCGGCGUGCCUAAUACAUGCAAGUCGAGCGAACAGACGAGGAGCUUGCUCCUCUGACGUUAGCGGCGGACGGGUUAGUAACACUUGGAUAACCUACCUAUAAGACUGGGAUAACUUCGGGAAACCGGAGCUAAUACCGGAUAAUAUAUUGAACCGCAUGGUUCAAUAGUGAAAGACGGUUUUGCUGUCACUUAUAGAUGGAUCCGCGCCGCAUUAGCUAGUUGGUAAGGUAACGGCUUACCAAGGCAACGAUGCGUAGCCGACCUGAGAGGGUGAUCGGCCACACUGGAACUGAGACACGGUCCAGACUCCUACGGGAGGCAGCAGUAGGGAAUCUUCCGAAAUGGGCGAAAGCUUGACGGAGAAACGCCGCGUGAGUGAUGAAGGUCUUCGGAUCGUAAAACUCUGUUAUUAGGGAAGAACAAAUGUGUAAGUAACUAUGCACGUCUUGACGGUACCUAAUCAGAAAGCCACGGCUAACUACGUG